AAGCUGCAAAGAGCUCCUUUUCUCCCGCCUCUCAGCUGAUCGGCGGGUGGGCGGGGCUUCCACGGAGGCCUCGUGUAGGCCUCUGUGAAGCCUGAACUCCAGUAGGGCCCAAGCCAGCCAGGAAGGAGGAGGCAGCCAGAGUGGCCACCACUGUUCUCCACAGCAGAAGACCCCUUGCUGCCCUGCUCAGCCCAGCAUUUGUCAGUAGGUUCAGUCCCCAGGAGAAUGUACACUCUUCCACAGGAGGUACAGGACCUCAUUGCCUUCCCAUCAUCUGAUACCCCACUGGCUCAGCUGGUUUUGAACUCAGUGCUCACAACAGAAGGCCGAGAACAGCUCUGCUCUACUGAGGAGUGGCAUCCCUCCGAGGGCUGGAGUUGAGUGAUGAUGAAGAAAACUGUCUAAGAGGCCUGGAGUUCCUGGGACGAGGUGGAGAACUUGGGGUGGAUUUGUAUCCUUUCCCCUUCUUCUCUACCCUCCCAUGUGAUUGCAUUUGAAAUCCGUGUAAAUCUGGGUGGAAUUUAGCAGCUGGUUAGAGGAGCCAAAAUCAGGGGGCUACCCUACAUUCUGGGGGACAUGGCGACCCUAGCUGCGACAAGCAAGACAGGAAAAGAACUGGGCCGGAAACAAGCAUUAAAAAAACUAUCUACUUCCUGUCUGCCUCAAGCAUGCCUGAAGCACAACCCAUUUCUGCCGGAUGGCCCACGAUCACUGGGGAAAGAGGUAUUUCUUUUUUGCUUCUAAAUUUGUUGUGUUUUAUUUUAUGCUAAAAAGCUUCUAUCCCACUUUUCUCUCUUACAAGAUCAAAGUGGCUCACAAUAAAAUUACAUGAAUAAAACAUGAGAGCAAAAAAUACAGCAACAAAAUAAUAAAUAAUACAAAUCCAGCAGUAAAUAGCACUCCAUCUACAAUCUAUAGUUCAAGAAUAGCAGCAAGAAGAGAUCAAGCAACAUCAAAUGCCCUUCUGAAGAGCCAUGUCUUCACACUAUGGUGCAAACAGUGUGGGUGCAUGUCUGGUUUCCGCAGGUAAAGUGUUCCAAAUAAUUGGUGCCUCCGUAGAGCAUGACU